rnacentral:rRNA from 1 species
UUGGGAAUCUUGGGCAAUGGGCGCAAGCCUGACCCAGCGACGCCGCGUGGGGGAUGAAGGCCUUCGGGUUGUAAACCCCUGUCAGGAGGGACGAAGCCGCAAGGUGACGGUACCUCCAGAGGAAGCCCCGGCUAACUACGUGCCAGCAGCCGCGGUAAGACGUAGGGGGCGAGCGUUGUCCGGAAUUACUGGGCGUAAAGCGCGUGCAGGCGGCUUUGUAAGUCCCGUGUGAAAGCCUACGGCUCAACUGUAGGAGGCCGCGGGAUACUGCGAGGCUAGAGGGCAGGAGAGGGAAGUAGAAUUCCCGGUGUAGCGGUGAAAUGCGUAGAUAUCGGGAGGAAUGCCAGUGGCGAAGGCGGCUUCCUGGCCUGUCCCUGACGCUGAGACGCGAAAGCUGGGGGAGCGAACGGGAUUAGAUACCCCCGUAGUCC